CUGCAUUAUGUAAAAAUGUUCAGUGAAGUUUUUUUUUGUUUGUUUUUUGUUUUUUAACACUAUUAUCAACUUUAAAGCAAAUUGAACCCAACUGUCCAAGGUCAUAGAUAUCACAGACAAGGAUAAGAAUAAUGACUAUGUACAUGGCAACUUUUUUCAUUUUACUGUUCCAUACAGACUAAUUCAGGACUUUCUAAAUGUAUCAUAGAGCAUCCUCUGGAUCUACAUUUUGGACUAUGUUUUAAUCAUCAUGAGAAAAGGUCCAAGA
rnacentral:lncRNA from 10 species